CGCAAUGGGCGAAAGCCUGAUGGAGCGACGCCGCGUGGUGGAUGAAGUCCUUUGGGACGUAAACACCUUUUAUGAGGGAGGAAAUUUUGACGUUACCUCAAGAAUAAGGGGCUCCUAACUCUGUGCCAGCAGGAGCGGUAAUACAGAGGCCCCGAGCAUUAUCCGGAUUUACUGGGCGUAAAGGGUGUGUAGGUGGCAUAGUUAGUCUUUCGUUAAAUCUCAGGGCUCAACCCUGAAAUCGCGAAGGAAACGGCUAUACUCGAGGAUACGAGAGGUAGAGGGAACUCAUGGUGUAGGGGUGAAAUCCGUUGAUAUCAUGGGGAACACCAAAUGCGAAGGCACUCUACUGGCGUACUCCUGACACUGAAACACGAAAGCGU
rnacentral:rRNA from 1 species